rnacentral:rRNA from 1 species
GGGGUGCUUGCACCCCGCUGACGAGCGGCGGACGGGUGAGUAAUGCUUAGGAAUCUGCCCAGUAGUGGGGGAUAGCCCGGGGAAACCCGGAUUAAUACCGCAUACGUCCUACGGGAGAAAGCAGGGGAUCUUCGGACCUUGCGCUACUGGAUGAGCCUAAGUCGGAUUAGCUAGUUGGUGGGGUAAAGGCCUACCAAGGCGACGAUCCGUAGCUGGUCUGAGAGGAUGAUCAGCCACAUCGGGACUGAGACACGGCCCGAACUCCUACGGGAGGCAGCAGUGGGGAAUAUUGGACAAUGGGGGCAACCCUGAUCCAGCCAUGCCGCGUGUGUGAAGAAGGCUUUCGGGUUGUAAAGCACUUUCAGCGAGGAGGAAGGCUCUGAAGUUAAUACCUUCGGGGAUUGACGUUACUCGCAGAAGAAGCACCGGCUAACUCCGUGCCAGCAGCCGCGGUAAUACGGAGGGUGCAAGCGUUAAUCGGAAUUACUGGGCGUAAAGCGCGCGUAGGUGGUUAGGUAAGCGAGAUGUGAAAGCCCCGGGCUUAACCUGGGAACGGCAUUUCGAACUGUCUGACUAGAGUGUGGUAGAGGGUAGUGGAAUUUCCUGUGUAGCGGUGAAAUGCGUAGA